GGAUUGUAGCUCAUUGGUAGAGCACUUGUCUAGCACAUGUGAGGCACUGGGUUCGAUCCUCAGUACCA
rnacentral:tRNA from 1 species